UCUUCUGGGAUAAAUGAUGUGUUAACCACUGUUUAUAUUUUCAUUUGUACAGGUACCAUUGAAUCUUGACUAUAAUUAAUGAAGAUAAGAAUAUGAUAUAUUUAUUAGACUCUUUGAGUAACAGGAACCGAGACUAAGCUUGACAAACUAUUGUGACCAAUGGGGUCAAGAUAUACAAUGCUUCAAGGAGUAUUUCAAAAGGACCAGGUUUUAAACAAUUGACAGUAUGUAUUGUGACUAUGUAUUUAGACAACAAUUAAUAAUUUUUAUUAUUUGGAUUGUGACUUCUUG